AAACAGGGAAGCUGGGUCUCAUAAGGUCAGUUUGAUUUUCAUUAAUGUCUGUAAAGUGAUCUGGUUUUGAAAGGGAGUUGACACGUACCCACUAAAUGAGGAAUAUGAAAACUCUGAGGAUCUGAACAUGGUGAUGGGUCCAUCCUGUCCCCAGGCUCACGUGGAUGUCACUGAAACAUGGAAACUCAUCAGUCAUAGGAGACAUAUAAAAACAAGCCUGGAUUUUGAGAAGCUAUUUUUAAAGCAUGUAUGCAUGUGUUCCUUGUUAAAUAAAUCUGGUGAGAUAAUGAAUGGUCUUUGUUUCUAUUUAAGUUUUGUUAAUCAAAAAUCUGGAUUCAUGAUUUGCCCCCUUGACAAUUUCCAAAAGCAUGGCCUUCCUUAUACAGAUCUCAAAAAUUCCUCUAGCCUGGGCCCUUGUCCUAGGCUCAGGACUUUGGCUUUCUUCAGGAGCCCUGAGAAAGGUCACACAGGGAGUGUAGUGGGAACAAGGUGACGACCCCUGAGUGGAAAACAGCGCAGGCUUAGCGACAGAGCAGUGGUGGCGGCCCCCAGAGGCCCGGGAAGAUGAAAGCUGCCUGUCGAUUUGAUGAUGGCGCGGCUCGCACAAAGCUGGGAGUAGGGUAGUCACUGAGGCUGACUGUGCUGAGUAAGUUACAGAACAACUGGCUUCAGGUCUCCUUUUGACCUCUUGUUCUGUCCUGAACCCCGUCAUUCAGAGAUGUAAGAUUUGUACAGUCAGUUCUGUAAUUAUUUCAAAUAGUAACUCUACAAGUCUAUGUUUCACUUGCAAAGUUUCAAAAUGCUUUUGUAAACAGUCUUCAGCUGGGUUCCCCAGAGGUAGGCUCAGGAGAAGGCUCACGUGCAAGUGAUUUACGAUGGACUCCCACAAGAAAGCAGCAAGGAGGUGGGAGAAGCAGCUCCAGCAGCCCAGGGACCCUCCUCCAAAGGAGCCUUGGGAAGCAAAGCACUCAGAAACCGGGGGAAGGGCACACAGAACCGGAGAGAGGGCUCCAAGGCGGUCUGGGUGCGGCACUGAGGGUGUCUGCUACACGCGGCUGGCUCACUGGGUCCCUAACCAACUCGGGGAGGCAGGAGAGAUUAGAUCCUGCUUGCACAGAAUGGGGAAGCCAAGAAUCCAAGAACAUCGAGGUCUUCCUGGAGUUCCUUGUUACCCGUGAUCCAAAGGAGCAAGGGCGGCCCUGGCCCGCAGCAGAGGCAGGGAAGCGAGCAGGCCUCCCUGGCAGCCUGGCCCGUGUCCCUGGACCAGCCCUCGUGCAUUCCGAGCAGCAGGGCCUGGACACUUGCUGAAUCCUUUGAAGCUGGAGAGCUGCUUGGGUGGGGGCUGUGUCUGCGUGGGGCACAUUUUUUUUCUCAUUGCCAAGAAUUUCCGCUUCCAACGGCAUUCGUCUUUCCCAGGAACUCCCUUCAGCAAAAAGAGAAAAGAAAAAGGAAACAGAAGAAACCCUCCCUGAACAAGGAGACUUUCUUUCUCUGUCAGUCCCUGAUAAGAAAAGUGUUCUGCCAAUCGUGGCAUCCUGUUCUGAACCUGCCCUGCUCCUCUCGCCCUGGCCAGGCCCUCGGGCUUCUCUGGGUGUGAUUCACGACAGUGGGGGCUCGGUGGCCUUCGGGUGAUUGCUCCAAGGUCAGCCGUAGAUGAACUUUUGGGACUUGGGGACAUGAAUUCAAGCUGUCAGCCAAGUGUGCAAAAUUGCUCCGCUGAGGCUGAUUAGCUUCUUCUCUCAAGCACUCUCUGAAUCUCUUUCUCCCAUCGUAAUAACAACUUAGACACAUUGCCGGCUAGACAUUAACAGAGAUAGAAAUGACCAUACCAUCUUUUCUAUUCUAAGAU
rnacentral:lncRNA from 1 species